UAUUGCACAAUGGGGGAAACCCUGAUGCAGCGACGCCGCGUGAGUGAAGAAGUAUUUCGGUAUGUAAAGCUCUAUCAGCAGGGAAGAAAAUGACGGUACCUGCUUAAGAAGCCGCGGCUAACUACGUGCCAGCAGCAGCGGUAAUACGUAGGGGGCAAGCGUUAUCCGGAUUUACUGUGUGUAAAGGGAACGUAGACGGCAGCACAAGUCUGGAGUGAAAUGCCGGGGCUUAACCCCGGAACUGCUUUGGAAACUGUGCAGCUAGAGUGCAGGAGAGGUAAGUGGAAUUCCUAGUGUAGCGGUGAAAUGCGUAGAUAUUAGGAGAAACACAAGUGGCGAAGGCGGCUUACUGGACUGUAACUGACGUUGAGGCUCGAAAGCGUGGGGAGCAAACAGG
rnacentral:rRNA from 1 species